CAGUGGCGAACGGGUGAGUAACACGUGGGCAAUCUGCCCUGCACUCUGGGACAAGCCCUGGAAACGGGGUCUAAUACCGGAUAUUACCUUCCCCUGCAUGGGGGUUGGUGGAAAGCUCCGGCGGUGCAGGAUGAGCCCGCGGCCUAUCAGCUUGUUGGUGGGGUAAUGGCCUACCAAGGCGACGACGGGUAGCCGGCCUGAGAGGGCGACCGGCCACACUGGGACUGAGACACGGCCCAGACUCCUACGGGAGGCAGCAGUGGGGAAUAUUGCACAAUGGGCGAAAGCCUGAUGCAGCGACGCCGCGUGAGGGAUGACGGCCUUCGGGUUGUAAACCUCUUUCAGCAGGGAAGAAGCGAAAGUGACGGUACCUGCAGAAGAAGCACCGGCUAACUACGUGCCAGCAGCCGCGGUAAUACGUAGGGUGCGAGCGUUGUCCGGAAUUAUUGGGCGUAAAGAGCUCGUAGGCGGCCUGUUGCGUCGGUUGUGAAAGCCCGGGGCUUAACCCCGGGUCUGCAGUCGAUACGGGCAGGCUAGA
rnacentral:rRNA from 1 species